rnacentral:rRNA from 1 species
AGUGAACGCUGGCGGUAGGCCUAACACAUGCAAGUCGAACGGCAGCACAGUAAGAGCUUGCUCUUACGGGUGGCGAGUGGCGGACGGGUGAGGAAUACAUCGGAAUCUACUUUUUCGUGGGGGAUAACGUAGGGAAACUUACGCUAAUACCGCAUACGACCUACGGGUGAAAGCAGGGGAUCUUCGGACCUUGCGCGAUUGAAUGAGCCGAUGUCGGAUUAGCUAGUUGGCGGGGUAAAGGCCCACCAAGGCGACGGUCCGUAGCUGGUCUGAGAGGAUGAUCAGCCACACUGGAACUGAGACACGGUCCAGACUCCUACGGGAGGCAGCAGUGGGGAAUAUUGGACAAAGGGCGCAAGCCUGAUCCAGCCAUACCGCGUGGGUGAAGAAGGCCUUCGGGUUGUAAAGCCCUUUUGUUGGGAAAGAAAAGCAGCAGGUUAAUACCCCGCUGUUCUGACGGUACCCAAAGAAUAAGCACCGGCUAACUUCGUG